rnacentral:rRNA from 1 species
UACGUAGGGGGCGAGCGUUGUCCGGAUUUACUGGGCGUAAAACGCUUGUAGGCGGCCACGCCAAGUCGGAUGUGAAAUCUCCCGGCUUAACUGGGAGGGGUCAUGCGAUACUGGCGGGCUCGAGGCAGGUAGGGGGAAGCGGAAUUCCCGGUGUAGUGGUGAAAUGCGUAGAUAUCGGGAGGAACACCAGUGGCGAAGGCGACUACCUGGCCUGUUCUUGACGCUUGAGGCGCGAAAGCUAGGGGGAGCAAACGGGAUUAGAAAACCCUUGU